rnacentral:rRNA from 1 species
AUUGAACGCUGGCGGCAGGCCUAACACAUGCAAGUCGAACGAGUGGCGGACGGGUGAGUAAUGUCUGGGAAACUGCCUGAUGGAGGGGGAUAAAUACUGGAAACGGUAGCUAAUACAGUAUACCAUCAGAUGUGCACAGAUGGGAUUAGCUUGUUGGUGGGGUAACGGCUCCCCAAGGCGACGAUCCCUAGCUGGUCUGAGAGGAUGACCAGCCACACUGUAACGGAGACACGGUCCAUACUCCUACGGGAGGCAGCAGGGGGGAAUAGUGGACAAUGGGCGAAAGCCUGAUCCAGCCAGGCCGCGUGUGUGAAGAAGGUCUUCGGAUUGUAAAGCACUUUAAGUUGGGAGGCGUUACCAACAGAAUAAGCACCGGCUAACUUCGGGCCAGCAGCCGCGGUAAUAC